CGGCCGUCGCCACCGCGCGCGCGCGCGCGCCCCCUCCUCCCCCUCCCCUUCCCCCCCGGGCUGACAGAGCAGAAGGGCUGCGCCCCCCUCCCCUCGCUCGCGCCGGGUCUCGCGCGCGGACACGCACCCCGGCUCUCCCAGAUUUCUGAGGGAAGAUGAAUUUAGCAGAGAUUUGUGAUAAUGCCAAAAAAGGAAGAGAAUAUGCACUCCUUGGGAAUUACGACUCUUCAAUGGUAUAUUACCAGGGUGUCAUCCAGCAGAUCCAGAGACAUUGUCAGUCGAUCAGAGAUCCAGCAAUUAAGGGGAAAUGGCAACAGGUCCGUCAAGAACUAGUUGAAGAAUAUGAGCAAGUUAAGAGCAUUGUCAACACUUUAGAGAGUUUUAAAAUGGACAGACCUGCAGAUAUCCCUGUGUCCUGUCAAGAUGAGCCUUUUAGAGAUCCUGCUGUUUGGCCCCCUCCUGUUCCUGCUGAACACAGGGCUCCACCUCAGAUAAAACGUCCCAACAGAGAAGUAAAACCUUUGAGGAAAGAAUCACCAGGACUGCAGCCACGUGGGCCAGCGGGCAGAGCACACCCAGCAUCAAAAAGUGAGAAGUCUACAAGUAGCCGUGAAAGGGAAUCUAGAGCUAGAGGAAGAGAUGACAAGGGAAAGAAAAUAACCCAGGAAGGUGCUGGUGAUGGGGACAUUCCAAAAUUUGAUGGAGCAGGUUACGACAAAGACUUGGUCGAAGCUCUUGAGAGGGACAUUGUGUCAAGGAAUCCAAGCAUUCAUUGGGAUGACAUAGCAGAUUUGGAAGAAGCCAAGAAAUUAUUAAGAGAAGCUGUCGUUCUUCCAAUGUGGAUGCCUGAUUUUUUCAAAGGGAUCAGAAGACCUUGGAAGGGUGUGCUGAUGGUUGGUCCUCCUGGCACUGGCAAAACAAUGUUAGCAAAAGCUGUUGCUACAGAAUGUGGAACCACAUUCUUCAAUGUCUCUUCCUCUACUCUGACAUCUAAAUACAGGGGAGAGUCUGAAAAGCUAGUCCGUCUCUUGUUUGAAAUGGCGAGAUUUUAUGCUCCAACAACAAUCUUCAUUGAUGAAAUAGAUUCCAUCUGCAGCCGCAGAGGCACCUCCGAUGAACAUGAGGCGAGUCGCAGAGUCAAGUCAGAGCUGCUUGUGCAAAUGGAUGGGGUGGGUGGUGCUCUGGAAAAUGAUGACCCUUCCAAAAUGGUUAUGGUAUUAGCAGCUACAAAUUUUCCCUGGGAUAUUGAUGAAGCUCUCCGAAGGAGGCUGGAGAAGAGGAUUUAUAUACCUUUGCCCACAGCAAAAGGCAGAGCAGAACUAUUAAAGAUUAAUCUUCGGGAAGUAGAACUGGAUCCUGAUAUCAGCCUUGAAGAAAUUGCUGAGAAAAUUGAAGGCUAUUCUGGUGCCGACAUCACUAAUGUUUGCAGCUUUGUUCAACCUAUUUAAAGAGUAAAGACGAGAAGAGUAUGAAAAACUAACACUACCAAGUAAAAACACCCCAUGAAGCCCAGAAAACCAUGGCAACACUGUAGUUUUACCAUGCAGCAUGAACCAACAAGAAGCAAAUGUCAGGGAAACCAGGUGAGAGUCCAUGAAAUUUCUACCGUCCAAACUUCUCCAGCUAAACCCUGCUGACAUUGGCCUUAUUACCUUCAAUGAACUGAGGCCAGACCACGGAGCAUAAGCAAGAAGUAUACCUUCUGGCUGUCAAAAGUGCCUGUCCCCGUGCUGCAGCCAGCUGCUGCCCAACCCUGUUCCCCUCCAGCUCUUCCCACCCUGCUGUGGCUUUUUGAAGCAGAUGCCACCAAGGCUCAAACACGUGGAGCACCUCGGAGGCAUGGGAGCAUGACGCUUCCCAUGGCUGGCAUUGCUGAGUGCUGCUGCAGCUCAGUGCACUGAUGACAGCCUGCAGAGGAGGUUGAUGACCACAGCUGUGUUUGGUACAGGCAGGGCUCUGUACAUUCCUGUUUGCUCCUGUUGGCCCCAGCUGACGGCCCAAGCGAGCCUGGCCAGGCGGAACGGGCCAGCUCCAGCAGCCAUUGCCUGACCAAAAAGCACCGUUCGCUUGGCUGAACAAGUUGCUCCACUUGCUUGGCUGGCUACCAACGCACAGGCAAGGCCGGGCGUAAGUACACUCGUUAUGUCAAAAGCUAAAGACUGUGAAGCAGAGUGGGGCUGUACUGUGCAGGGAAGCCCAGGCAGGUGGGAACUGUUCAGAUAACACGGGUUCCUUCCUAGGACGUCACCAUUAAUUGCAGGUAUCACCCUUCCCCUGCAGGUCUCACCCUGCCUCACUGCAGGCAUGCGGUCACGUACCCCGAAUCCCCCAGCCCAAGCCCCAUUGCACUAUAAACAAGGGCUUUGUUUUGAAUUGAUUAUUUUGUGCACCAGACCACAGCUAUCGUCCCUCUGUGCCCUUCGGGUGUGAAGUCUGGGCUUCCCCCUCCGUGUAGUGACCAGUCUCGACUAUCCUCAGGGAGGAAGGAAAGUUUUCCCCUCCCUCCUGCCUUCCCUGCGGCCACUCGCGUUGUCAUGGCAAUUCAGAUGCUCCCGCGCAGCAGGCGCUGGGCACACCUCCAGGUUUCGGUGAGUCUUUGCUGGACGUGUCAGCCAGGUGCUCCAGAGCCAAAUCUGCUCACCAGAUUUCUGUGGACCUCAUGCUUUCACCUGUGUUUCCAUGCCCAGAAGGAGGAAGGUGGGAAGCUGGAGGCAUGCUUGUCAGAUGAUUUUCCUUGCGAUCACUUUGUUUUUAGCUGCUGUGAUUGCAGGGCAGAUGAGCACCAAACCCUCCCAGGGCAGGGGCUGUUGCUCCUCUCCUGCCUCAGGCAUUGGUGUGAGAUGGAGAGCUGCCCAUCAAGCAGACCCAGGACCCCAUGCGUGGGUAUGGUACCUCAUGAGCUUGCUCCAUGCCUGGGCCUGGCAUGGGCGACACAUCCCACCUGCCCUUCCUGCCCGCUCCCACUGCACUUCGUUCCUCUGUCCUGGAUGGUCAAGGUGCAUUUCAGAGGGCGGACGUGUGGGUCUGUAGAGGGGGAGAGGUUUCCAAGUCACUCAUGGGAAUCAGCUGGUCUGAGAGAUCAAGGAAGGGAAAAGGAUAUAUGUGUUUGCAAGAUUUCACCCCAAAGGUGGUUUUCAUCCCCACAUCCCACAAACUUCCUUAUGGUACUGCCUUGAUGAACAGAUGGGUCAGAUGCAUGUGGUGGGGCUCUGGGCAGAACAUCUGGAUGCUGCUCUGCAGCUCCUGCUAUGAGAAAUAUUGCCGCUCUGUCCCACACGGUCGAGACUCCCAGUUUACAGCUGUGAAGUUUCUGGAUUUGCAGUUACCAAGGGAAAUUUCCUCUGCUCCCUCUGUCUCCUUUACCUCCUCUCCCACCUGCCCCAUGUAUCUUCCUCUCAUGCAGAAGAUGCGAGGCUGCACAGGAUGGUUACUGCAGAGUCACUGCGGUGACUGGUAUCGGUAUUGGAGGCUGUGGGUUACAGCUUCUGGACCUGCUCUGCUGUAAGUCUGUGUCUGCUGUUGCCCAGAGUAACCUGCUUCUUUCUCCCAGGCACCAACAGUCAAAUACGCACAGCUGGGAGGAAAAUGAUAGCCCCAAAUGAUAGCCCCAAAUGAUAGCCCACUGUUUAGGCAUGGGUCGCCAGAAGCCAUACGGUUUAAAUGCUAGAUGCCAGGAUGUUUUAUUUUUCCUUAUUCCACUUCAAUGUGCAUUUUAAUAUAAUAUUAAAUUUGUUGGCACCUGUCCACACAGUGGCAUGAAUAACUAAUGGAAUGACCUAUUCUUGAAUAACUCCCAUGGGGACUCACUAUUCCUAAAAAAAGGGGUUUAAUUCUGAAUAAAAAAGUUUUGGACUAAAAUCCCUUUUAUUCUGGAGCAAAGUACCUAUUCAGACAGCCAUCUUGGGGCAGUGUUUCCUGCAAUAGCUAUGCUGGUCUGUUUUUCCGUGAAGACACUGGGUCUGUGUGUAGGUUACUGAACAACGAUGCUGACACCACAAAACAUGCUGUUCUGGCAAGUUGGGCUGUGAAUGACAGUAACAUUAGUUGCUUGGGAGAUCAUGUCUCCUGCCUUGACUGGGGCUCUAAGCUUAAAGGAUGCCUGUCCUUAGCAGCUCUGGGAAAGGCGAAUGAUAGGCUCCUUCUGCCCCAGGAUGAGACAAGUGCCAUCUCUCUGGAAAUAUUGUGAGCGUCCAGACUCAAGGGAUUUUCAGCCCUGCAAACAGGUAUUACAUAUGCAAGGAGCUGCAGGAAAGUAACCUGCUUUAUAACCCGCAAGCUACCUGAUGUUAAGCAAGUUAUCUAGAGUAUACCCUGACUGUAGAGUAAAGCAGUUUUAUUGUUGCUGGAUAGUGCCUUUUUCUUAUACAAAAUGUUAGGGGUUUGUUGUGCAUUUUUUGAAUAGCAAUAACACUUCAUAAAGAGUAAACAGAUGACAGUUCUUUUCCUGUGUUAGCUUUGGCAUAGAUCAGUCUUCCUUGUAAAAUAACCUCUUAAAUUAAGCUAAUGAGGUUUCAAACUAGGCAGGAUAUCGUUGCACGGAGUGGAGGGAAAGGAAGAACAAGGUGUGAAUCACUGGUUGGAGAGGUGUGAUUCAGCGGUGGAGAGGGAUGCUUACCAAAGAGCUACGCGAACAGAGCAUAGUUAAAUGCAAAACAGUCAAGUACAAGUUUUCUCUGCCAAGAUAUCCUCGUAAUGCCCCUUCCGAAGCUCACGUGUGGGUGAUCAUGCCAAGGUAACUCGCGUGGAAAAGGGUUACAAAGGCUGUUGAUUCCGUGCUGUUUCGGGUCGGAGGUCCUAGAGAGGCACCAAAUCGAGGGGUGGAUUGGCCCAGAGGGAAGGGGACCUGUUGAACUGCCUUUGGGCAAAGGCCACGUGGGCACAGACCUUCACCUCCUGGGAAGGCAGGUGAGGAGGUCUGCGGCCCCACUGGGGUUUGCAGCCAAAACCCGACGCUGGCUGUCUGAGAGAUGCUCUGGGUCAGGGCUGCCACCUGUGAAACGGUCCGGACAAAGUGCCAAAGCCCUGCUACAGAGAAGGGCACAGUCAAAUGCUGCAGCAUCACUGGGGCCCGCGUGAUCCCCGCACUGGAGGCGAGGAUAUGGGCUGCCUGGGACUCAUAACGGCGAAGGAGAAUGGGGUGUGCACACUGCUACGGCUGACCUCAAAAGCCACCCUCCCAGAUCCCUUAAAAAGAUGGUCUUGCUGACACAGGCUGACUGAUUAAAGCCCCUGGUGAAGGGCAGAAAUGAAGUCAGCGUGUUUAUUCUCAGUCUCUCAUGCAAAGCAGGCGACAUGAUGGAGCAGCGUGAGCUCGGGGAGGUGCAGCUGCCUCUGUUUACUGCACUGGUGCCACAGGCCGGGGAAGGGAGGAGGAGGAAUCUGCCACACAUUUCUACUUUUAUUCUCUGCAAAGAUUCACACAAAUAUGACAUGCCAAACUUUGCACAUAUGUUUGUUUUGGGGAUUUUUCAGAACAUAAGACACGGUGGUUAUAGCUGUAUUAUGACUGCAACGUGCCCUGGGCUGUUCUCUGGCUCCGAGGCCAGCUGGGUUGGGGUGUCCCACGCCUCUGUGAUUAAACUCUCCAUCCCCCAGUGCAGGGUGGCUGCACUCAGGCUGUUAGCUAGGAAAGAUCCUUGGCCCAUGCUAACCCCCAUGAGUUGUUUGGAAGAGCCCUACCUGGCAUGGGCUAGCUUCAUUUGCUAAUAUAGACACAGCUAAUAAGUAUCACUACAGGACUGACAAGAUAUUUAAAGGAAUAUUCCAAAUUUCUGUCCACACUACGUGCAUUUUUCCUUGGUUUUGUGAAAUACAACAUCAUAAAACCAUGGUGAAUGCUAAUGUUUAUCUGCAGAAGAAAUGAAAAGGGAGGAGCUGUUUGGUGGAUUGACCCUGGGCACUGGAGAUGCUGAGAGGGGCUGCUGGAAGGAGCAGAGCUCAGACCUUACACUAAAUAAGGAGCUCUGAUGUGCCUUUAAACUGGGCAGAACUGGGCCCCAGCAGAGAGUCUGCAUUAUGUGACUGAGAACAGGCCUUCUCAGCAAGCCACCCUUCCCCUGUGAAGCACACGAGCCUGCAGGUAACCCUGAGCAGCUGAGUCAGCCUCAAAGCUGACUCCAAGCAAGCAGCGCCUGAACUCAAAGUCAUUGCACAUACUAGGUAAUUCAACACGCAGUUUUAUUCUUGGAAAACACUACGGACCGCUGUAUCCCCCCCUGCAUGUCGGUCCUGAGGACAGGAGAGGGACAGGUCCUGGGAGGGGCAGAGGCUCUGAGUGCUUUAAUUAGUUUGAGGCAAUUCAUUGCUCCAUCCUUUCACUGGGGAAUAGCAGCCAAAGGCUUUUCUUCUGGGUGGGAGGAAGGGAGAAGAGGGAGUCUCCAGGGAGUAAGCUACAGCGGCAAUAAACUUUACCUGUUACUCUGCCAUACCUCCCCGUUCAGACAGUCUUACUGUGUGUGUCUAACAGGGGCUGAGCUUGGGCUGCCUCUCUUCGAGGCAUUCCCACAGCAUCAGGCUGUGCCUCAUGUUUAUUUAAAAGAAAAACAGGCAGGCAGAAGAAGUGCUGAAGCAAAAACCCGCAGUGUGCAUAACAAAGCGCAGGAGUUGCUAUGUACAACGCACUGCCAAUUGCAUAGUCAAGUAAAUAGCCCCAAGGCGCUAGUGACUUGAACACUGCAUUUGCUUGUCUGAAAAAUGAUUCUAUUUAUUGAACAUUCAUUUUACACUUGAGAGCUAAAAACUUCCUUUUCCCACCUUCUGUUGGAGACGCACGCACCUCCGGCAUGUAACCGAGAGUAAGCUGUUUCUCCAGGGGAAAGCAGUUUAAUGACUCAUGGAAAUUCAUUCUCUGCUCAGCCUAUGGGCUAUGACGUUCAUGUGGAAACAGCUUGGUGUUUUAUGAAUAGAGCCCCUAUAAAAAUGUAAAGGUCUCUGACUUGGGGCUUUAUGGAAAUUGCAUGAACAGAACCUCAAGGACAGCCACGAAAAUAAAAGUUUUCAGAGUGUGUUUGUGUCAAACCCUAUCAGCACGUCGGAGUUCAGACGAGGUUUUGUUCACGCGUGUGCUGCAGUCGGGGGUUUCUUUACUGGCGUAUGGUUUGGUUUUGUGUUGGUUUGAGGAACCUAGGAGGAGCCUCUGAAAGGCUUGAGAGCUCCCCCUAACCUCAGGGAGAAGAUUAUAACGUUUCAGCUGAUCUCUGCGUGCUGCCCAAAGCGGUCACCACGGCUCACGCCUUCCCAGCUGGGGCAUGGAUCUGUUCUUCACGGCAUCGAGGACACUGCCGAAAAGCAUGUGGUCAGUUUUGAACCCAAAUUGCUGACUAGAUUUCAGGACUGCUUGGAAAAAAGCUGCUGAAGUUUGCUGUAGACGUCUUUCCUGCCUCCACGGAGCUGACGCGUGUCCGUGAGGGCUGCAGAGCUGCCUGCGGCCUCGCGCGAGGGGUGCGGAGGUGGGUGCAGGCUGGUGGCUUCCUCCCAGCGUGGCAGCCUGGCCCCGCGGCCACACUGCCAGCUUUCGACCCUCCUUGGGUCAGAGGAGACAGCCGUACUCAUGGCUGUGGGAUGGCAGCUCUGGGAAAUGGAGUGGCACGGCAGACCCCUAGGAAUGAGGCAUGUCUAGUCACCAAACAAAGAAAAAGGGUGUUUUCCCUGGGCCCAUCUGCUUGGCUAAGAAAGCCGUCUGCCGCCUGCGCCUCCUUUUGUUUAAACUUUUUUUAACUGUGUGCAAUACUCUGUAUGUGAGACGCCCCGACACAACAGUUCGGCAGAAGCCAGCCCAUGUUUCCUUCCCUGGAGCUGCGAUGCCUUGAGGCUACCUGAGAUGGGGACGUCUCGAGAUGCCACCGUGGCUGGCGGUCCCAGCACAUGGCACUGUCCCCAGCCCCGCGUCCUCACCUCCCCGCUGCCUCACGCUGCGGAGGGCUGACCUGCAGCUGUGCUGCCGCAGCAGAUGUCAGACCUUGCUGUGAACAAGGUUGGGCUAUUUUUAAAUUUUUGCUGGGCUGCUUUCAGGCGAUGCUGUUUCCCAGUGCAGGGCACAGCACGGUGGGGCUGUCUCUCUGUGGCUGGGAGGACACGGGGCCUGGGCUGGCUGGGAAGGGGGCUUCGGCACUAAUGUCCCUGAAAGCUUAGUCUUGUGAAGCCCCAUCCUGCGGUUUCUUGCCUUGUGCUAACCGAUGCAACCUCACUUUUAUUUUCUCUGAGGUUAAAGAACAAACUUUUUUUAAUUUUAGCUGUCAGGACCAGAACUAGGGAAAUGGCAGUGUGAUGCAGAAGGACGGCUCCCCCAUGAGUGUGGCAGGGUGACACCGCAUGCCUGUGGGAACCGGCUGUCACUCACAGCCAAGCACUAACCUCGUGCAAAAGGCCCGCAGGACCAUAGCUUACGGGUACAAACAUUCAUGCCUGGGGCCUGUUGCCCUAGGAAUUAGCCUGAGGCAAAGAAGGACUAUUUGGAUCCUGGAGCCAGCGUGUGGGAAAUGCUUGUGUCAACCUUUCCAGAGGGGUGCAGCUAAGCUGCAGGAGCUGGACGAUGCUGGGGCAGAUGGGGGCAUUUUGGGAAGGGUUGUGGUUCACUUUAUUGGUUACAGAGCUGUGCUGGACCCAGCUUUCCCUCUUACCUUCACUUCGCUGACUGAUAUCAUUUAAGGCAGCUGUUUUCCAUUGUACCGUGGCGUAUCCCCUUGCAAACGGGGAGAGAGGCCUCUGUGGCAACAGCUGUUUGCUAAAACAAGCCAGGGCCUGACUCAAGACCCUCGUCUCCGAGAGGGAGACCAGAGAAAUCCAACCCAGGCCAGGUGCACGCUCAGGUCCAAUAUAUAAGGAGAGGCAUUCAGAGGGCAGGUCUCAACCGGGGCACCUGGGAGAUGGCUCCGGCUCCUAGUCCAAGGAAGUCAUGUAGCUCCUAACUGCAUUUCUAAAUGAGUUGUGGGUAGGCACCAUUCCCACCUCCCUCUCCUUUAGUGGAAGGAAAAUGAGGCACAUGGAGGUAGGAGGGAGCCUUUGGACACCCUGGUGAGUUCCUUGGUCUGGAUGAUCAAUGCAUGGCACACCACAAAGUGCAUCUGCCUUGGGGCUUGGCUUGGCCAGAAAGAUGAGGUGUGGAGGCAGGAGUGCAGGCAAGCCUGUAACCAUGCCCCAGAGACUCCAGUUUUUAUGGUAUUUGCACAAACAUCCAUUUGCUUGUGCGACAAAACCUUCCAGAACAAGUGCCUACCUGAGUAAGCGCCCUUGGCACAGGGGAACGGCUGCCUGCACCAUCUCAAUGAGCAUGCUUCAGAGGGCCUCAGGAAACUUGGCCAUCACUGUCUUCCUAACAGGGGUAGCAUUUUCCUGAAAGCACUUCUAUGCGUGCCCAAUAGGUAGAGAGAUUGCUGCAUAGUGACUCUCUACAACUGUAGCUGGCAAAAGAGAGUGCCUCGCACAAACAGGGAUCAACAGGAGGGCUACCAACACCCUCCUAUUAACAGCACAACAUAAGGGCUUGUGCUGGAAUAGCAGCAUUAGAGAUCUGUACAGGGCUUGCUGUAACUGUGAAAUGAAAGUCCUCACUUUUCUGCGUUUUCCAAAUAUCGUGAGAUAUGUAGUGCUGCAGAAAUACAUGUCCUGGAUUUUAAGCAUCAUGUCGGUCUGUAUUAGGAAAAAUAGCAUUGCAUCUCCUGGGUGUCACAGGAGGUGAUGGAACGGUGUUGCAGCUUCAGUGUGCUUCCCGAGGCUGUGAUGCAUCUUGGCUUGCUCAUGGCCAAACUCUUCUGCCACGGCCAAAACCAGGAGCAUAUAUAUGUGACAUGCUUCUAAUUCCACUGACAUGCAUGACACCUACCCCAAAAUGAUCUGCUCUCCUGUUAUCUCUGGGACUGGUGGUUUUUCCUUCCCCCGUGUUUUCUUAUGAACAUGGUGGAGAAACAAUGCAAGAAACUGCAGUCACUUUUCUAUCCUAGCUGUGCAAAAUAGCACAGAGGUUGCCAAAUUAAUUGUCAUAGUUAAUUAUUUUUCUCAGUUUGUUCAUGCUUCAAGGGGCCUCUUCCCUGCUGACUUUUCAGAGUGCUGAGGUGUGGAAAAUUGGUGCAGUCUCCUUCAGUUUUUGCAAGCGCUGGGAGAGUUGGGAUGUGUGUUGCAGAUGAAAAUAUGAUAGUUGUGGUCUGUGCUUGCCAUCUGAUUUCUUCUAGAGUCCAAGCCUUCUGGGAAGUAUCUCAAAAUGCAGAUAACUUGUUCUGAAAGCUAGGAUUUAGAUUCUGCAACUGACUUUAGGAGAGAGAGACAGAAAACACCUGUGGCCAGAAGAUGGACUCUUGAGAUUGUGAACUGCUUUGGAGAAAUGGCAGACAGGUUCUGUGCUGGCCCUGGUCUGCAUGACGGCACUGCGGAUGAGGAGCAGGGGCAGAAGACAGCGUCUGCUAUCAUCUUCUGUAUUAUUUUCAUGAUCUCGGUGUGCGAAAGUAUCUGCCUUACCUUUGCAUGUAAUGUGUAAACAGCCGCCACUUGCCGACAAUGUUUUCUGUGUUAAGCAGGGUGGAGCUGCCCUCUACUGUUUCGAUUACGCACAACUGUCCACCCGUUUAUUAUUUAGAAAAUAAAGGGCCAGCAUUGAUACACCCCUCUGCAAUAACCGGGCUCCUUGGGAAUGAGUCAGUCUUCCUUAGAACUCCACAUAUACAUGUGGAAGUGUUCAAAAAUGGCAUUUCUACAGUCUGGCAGCUUCCCCAGGCUCAGUCAUCUGCUGGACCACAAAUGAAAAAAUAAAAUCAGAACUGGAAGCAUAGGGGCAUUUGCACUGCAUGGAGAAGGCGAGAAAAUGGAGACCAUGGUGCAGAUUCUGAGGUGCUCUCGUGCCGCUGGAUGCUAUUUAUGCUUUGGGGGUUUCCUGAUGUUUACAUGACAUCCCCAGCCAUUUCUGUUCCUGGCAGAGGACAUCUGAACCAUAGGUGGUUUAGUGGGAUCUAGAUCUGAAGUCCCUUGAAUAGAAUGAGAGAAAGUACAUUUAAAUACUAGUUUUUUAAACAAAUCUCCUGUUUUGUCACAAAGAAGAAUUUGUGGUUUCAUGCAGGUGCAAUCAGUGGUCAAUGAAUGCAUUUAAGUGAACAAAAGAGAAAGCAGAAGGUACGAAUUCCUACACCUAUUCUGCAUCACUUGUAUGGUUUUUGGCUUUGGAGUCUCAGUGCAGCAGAAAAACACCAAUAUGGGUAUGCAGUCAGUGGAGCCUCCAGCCUGCACAGAGGACAGCGCUGUUGACUUCUGUGCUCUCCGUUGGAAAUGGCUGUCUGAGUUUGCAGAACAAGGGGUCCUAGUAGCUCACACACAUCACUUGCAAGGUGGCAGUAGCUUUCCAGAACCUGGGAUUUUUCCCUAUGGCUCUGUAAAGAGAGGCACUGAAAGAAAAUAAAUGGAGAGGAUGGACUGAGAGAAGCAGAAAGCACUGA